rnacentral:rRNA from 1 species
GCAAGUCGAGCGCUCACUUCGGUGGGAGCGGCAGACGGGUGAGUAACGCGUGGGAAUCUACCUAGCUCUACGGAAUAGCUUCGGGAAACUGGAAUUAAUACCGUAUACGCCCUCCGGGGGAAAGAUUUAUCGGAGUUAGAUGAGCCCGCGUUAGAUUAGCUAGUUGGUGGGGUAAUGGCCUACCAAGACUAUGAUCAAUAGCUGAUUUGAGAGGAUGAUC